UACGGAGGGUGCAAGCGUUAUCCGGAUUCACUGGGUUUAAAGGGUGCGUAGGUGGGCUGGUAAGUCAGUGGUGAAAUCUCCAGGCUUAACUUGGAAACUGCCAUUGAUACUAUCAGUCUUGAAUACCGUGGAGGUCAGCGGAAUAUGUCAUGUAGCGGUGAAAUGCUUAGAUAUGACAUAGAACACCAAUUGCGAAGGCAGCUGGCUACACGAAAUAUUGACACUGAUGCACGAAAGCGUGGGGAUCAAACAGG
rnacentral:rRNA from 1 species